AGGAUUCGAACCCAGGACUUCUGACUCCCAAGCCCGUGCUCUUUCCACUAGGCCACGCUGCUGGCCCUUUGGCCCUGUUGGCCCUUUGUGUUCCAACCAAGGUUUGGCCUCCUGUCAGAAAUUGGAAGUGCCCACUCCACCCAAGGCUACAGGAGUUGAGGAGAAGCAGCAGAGGAGGAAGGAGGAGACCAAGAAUGUCCUGCCCGCCCCGAGACCAACCAGACCGGAGCCUAAAACAAGCCGAAGAGGGAGAUCGGGGAGGCGGCUGGGACAAGCAGAAUGAUACGUCCCGGAGGGACUCGGGCCCGAGACCCGCACCAAUGAGGGGGAGGACGAGGGAGAAGCACCCGGGGAUCAAGCCAACGUGUGGAGACCAGGACGGCCUGAGAGCAGAUGGGAGUCGACCCGUCCACCUGCAAAAAUUAAGUACCCGGUCCUACUUGAACCAAAACCCACUUGGAAAUUUUACUGCUCAUAUCAAAUGAUUUGAACUCUGAUCAAUCUCUCUCACAGUUUUCCCUUCCAAAGGAAAAAGAUAUUAGGACUUUUCCUCACAGAAUAUUUUCCCAGUCCAUUUUCAGGGAAAAAAACUCUGGUAAGGAUGAUGCUUUUCCUCCUUAGAAGUCAAUCAGAGUAGAGGUAGGGGGUACCGGGGAGGCUUUCGGUAGGAAGAGGUAACAAGGGAAAUAGAAGAGAGAGGUUGAAUACCUAGUAUUGUGAAGAUAUUUCCAAGUAGUUUAAAACACUGAACCUUCCUGAAAAUUUCUGAGGGAAAUGGACCCCUAGUCUCCUUAAAAGGAAUGAAGAAAAUGUCUUAAGACAGGGCUCCCUGAUUUAGAGCAGUUCACUCUCCUGACUAUUGGGGUUGGGUCUAUGUUCCAUGUGAGGUUUGGAUUAGUUGAAGAAGAGAAAAAAUCCUUGCGCAUCCUCUCAGGGUGUGAUUCCGAAAGAGCUCUGGAAAAGGAGUCCUGCUGUAUAUGAAACGAUGGUAUAGUCUGUGCUGAAACCCAGGUUGAUAUAUUUCAGAGACUUCACCCACCUGCUUCCGGGAGCGCCCCAUCCAGCAAGCAUCCUCACCGGCAGAGCUGCGGUCUCAGACAUCAGCAGAAGCCGACCGACGGGAGGGUGAGGCGGGUUAGAUGACCAGGUGCCGGGAGCAGCGAAGGUAUCUGGAACAAGGAGGAAAGGAUUUAGGGCUGGGACGAGUGAGUUGUCGAGCUAUGUCCAGGCCUGGCGACGGGAAGACUAAUCUCAGCCGUCGUCAGAAGUGUGGGCGACGCUCACGAUCGCCAGGCGUGGGGUGGAAUCCUUGCCCGGGUACCAACGCUUUAUCCCUGGGCACGACAAUCCACAAAAGGGAAAGGUCAGAGAGUCACGCGUGCCCCUCACCUUGGGGGACGUGAGAGAUUCACCGCGUCGUCUUUAGGGAUAUUUGCCAAAGGAUACCAAUCUAAUUGUGGAGCGGCUCCACCUCUACAGAUAGCACUAAUGUAGGCAUUUUCUCUUCUCAAUGCAGGCUAAUAGUUUACCAUCAGCUGGUAGGAUUUUUGUUCCCCACAUAGAGAGAGCAAGGAGAGAAUCAGUGUUCCUCGAUUCGGGGAUAAAGAAUGAAAUGAAGGUGCAGCGCUCCCAAGAAGGGGAAUUGGCGUGAUGGGGUCUGCCGUCGGAGGCGUGGCCACUGUCCCCGUGGCCCCGUCUUGCAGCGCGGGGGAGCAGGGGCGGCCCGGUGAGAGGGACCCGGGGAAGGAGGGAGGUGCCCCACCGGGCCCGAGGAGCUGGGAUGGCGGGUCGGAGCCCACUGCAGCACUGCCACUCGGUGCCCCCUGAUCCUCAGUGGGAGGCCCACUGCGGGGGGAUGGUGGCAGUGCAGGGGAGGGAGCGGCAGGGAAGAGGGGCUGGCUGGGGAAGGACCGCUUCUCUCCCUUUUCCCCCUUUCUGCCUCCCCUCCUUUCUCCCCAGCCACUGCUUUGUUUAAGACUAUCUGACCAAUUGAUUGUUUUGUCCUCAAAGUUUUGAAUCUGUCCAGAUUUGGGGAGCUGUUACUCUGGACUGGAUCUUGCCUGUCGGUGGUAAGCACUGAUAAGAACAGAGGUAAGUGCCAGCCGGGAAGGGAGAGAUCUCCUAAUUGCCCUGAGGGGUUGGUUCAAGGGCUAUCCCCAGGGUGGCCCUGGGAGCGGGCAAGUGUUGCCUCGAUGAAUGUCAGUGCAUUUCCCACCUGCCCUAGCUUGCCCACUUUAAAAUCUGCUUUUAGGAUUUUUGUUGCCCACAUACAGCAAGGAGAGAAUCAGUGUUCCUAGAUCCGGGGGAAAAAUUGAAGCCAAGGUGCAGCGGUCCAAGAAGGAGGAUGGACAUGCUGGGGUCUGCCGUCUUAGGCGUGGCCACUGUCCCUGCGACCCCAUGUUGCCGCGCGGGGGAGCAGGGGCGGCCCGGUGAGAGGGAACCGGGGAAGGAGGGAGGUACCCCACCGGGCCCGAGGAGGUGGGAUGGAGGGUCUGCGCCCACUGCAGCACUGCCGCUCGGUGCCCCCUGAUCCUCAGUGGGAGGCCCACUGCAGGGGGGACAGUGGCAGUGCAGGGGAGGGAGCGGCAGGGGAGAGGGGCUUGCUGGGGACCGCUUCUCUCUCUUUUUCCCCAGCCACUUCCAUUUCUCCUCCUCCCCUUUCUUCCCUCCAAAAGAACAAGUUUGUUUCCACAGCAGCCCGACAUUGGCGGACCCCAGCCCCUUGGAGGACCACAGCCCACCAGCCAAACCAGCUCCAACCUCUUCCUGGACUCUCACCGGCCCUUUGGAAGCCAUCCUGAAGUACUCCUCACAGCCCCUUAAGGCACAGAGCAAUAAAGUCACUUGCCCAAAGUCACACCGCGGCCAAGUGGCAGAGUCAGGAUUAGAACCCAUGACCUCUGACUCCCAAGCCCGUGGUCUUUCCCCUAAGCCACGCUGCUUCUCCCUCCUCCCUGACUCCUGGCAUUGGGAUCCUUGUCCCUGUGAGGUUUGGAUUCCUGUCUGUACCGAGACAAAAGAAAUGACUUACAUAUCUUAUAGCACUAUGAAUUAAUAAUGCCUUUGGGAAAGGAAUUCCUCCUGUUUCCUAGGAAAGCCCUGUUGUCGCUUUGUGUUCCAACCCAGGUUUGGCCUCCUGUCAGAAAUUGGAAGUGCCCCCUCCACCCAAGGCUACAAGGGAGUUGAGGAGAAGCACCAGAGGAGAAAGGAGGAGACUCGCAUAUCCUGCCCGCACCAGGACCAACCAGACCGAAGGCCUAAACCAAGCCGAACGGGGAGAUCAGGGAGGCAGCAAUGAAUGCCAAGCAAACUGAUACGUCCCGGAGGGACUCGAGCCCGGAAGCGCACCAGUGAGGAAGAGGACAAGGGAGAAGCACCCGGGGAUCAAGCCAACAUGUGGAGACCAGGACGGCCUGAGAGAAGAUGGGAGUCGACCCGUCCAUGUGAAAAAAAUAAGUAUCUAAUCAUACACGAACCGAAACCAACUUGGAACCUUUUUACUGCUCCUAUCAAAUGAUUCGAACUCUGAUCAGUCUCUCUCACAGCUUUCUCUUCGUGAUGAAAAGGAUAUUAGGAUUUUUCCUCACAGAAUAUUUUCCCAAACCCUUUUCAGGAGAAAGAACUCCGGUUAGGAUGUUGCUUUUCCUCCCUAAAAGUCACGGUAGAGCUAGGAGGUACGGGGAGCCUUUCAUUAGGAAAAAAUAAUAAGGAAAAUAGAAGAGAGAGGUUAAAUACCUAGUAGCGUGAAGAUAUUUAAAGUAGAUUAAAAAGCUGAACCUUCCUGUAAAUUUCCAAGGGAAAUUUACCUCACGUCCCCUUAAAAAGAAUGAAUAAAAUGCCUUAAGACAAGGCUCCCUGAUUUAGAGCAGUUCACUCUCCUGACUAUUGGGGUUGGGUUUAUGUUCCAUGUGAGGCUUGGAUUCGUUGAAGAAGCGAGAAAAAUUCCUUGCCCAUCCUCUUAACGGUGUGAUUCUGAAAGAGAUCUGGAAAAGGAUUCCUCCUGUACCUUUUGAAAACGUUGGUAUAGUCUGUGCUGAAACCCGGGUUGAUAUAUUUCAGAGACUUCAGCCGCCUGCUUCCGGCAGCGCCCCGUCCAGCAAGCAUCCUCACCGGCAGAGCUGCAGUCUCAGGCAUCAGCAGAAGCCGACCACCCGGAGGGGGAGGAGGGUUGGAGGAGAAGAUGCCGAUAGCAGCGAAGGCCGGCAGGCUGCAAUUCGAAACCUCCGAUCGGCUCGGCUUCUCCGCCAGUAUUGGAAGAACGAAGACUGCGGUGAGAGAGGACCUUCGCUCCGGAUCAUGCGGCAAGAGAUGGAUAAAGGGAAAACCCUUUGAGGCUCCAAAUGCAUCCCCAGGGCUGCAUCCUAGGUCUUCAUGGCCGGGAAGAUGGAGGAGGAAAGAAAACUAGUUUGCUUGAUGCAUACCAAUCCCCAGAUUUCAUUUAUCCACCCGACGGUCUUCAUGGCCCGAAAGGAUCCUGUGGGGUUAAAAAAGGAGAAUUUGGCUUCAUGCAAAAACUCUCCUGCUUUGGCAACUGCUUAAGGUCCCUAAGGCCUCAAAAGAGAAUAUAUGAGGGGUGAAAGGAGACACGGGAUUCUUGCAGAUACAUCUCCUGUUCAUUACUCCACCUCAGAGCUGCAAGGCCUUUUAACUGGGAAUGAAAGAGAAUAGUGGAAGUGUAAAAGGGGAAAUUUGCUUCGUGCACAAAAUCUCCAGCUUGUAUUUCUCUACCUAAGGUCUUUAUGGCCAGAAAAGAGAAACUUUUAGGUCCAAAAGAAGAAAAUGGCUCCAUGUAAACAAUGUCCAGCUUUUCUUUCUUUCUACCCUAAGGUCUUUGAGUCCUCGAAAGAGGGUUUUUGAGGUGCAAAAGGAGAAAGGUAGUUUCCUGGACCAAAUCUCCAGUCUCUGUUUCUCUGAGGUCUUCCAGGCCUCCAAAGAGACUAUUUCAAGUGAAGAGGGAGAGAUUUGCUUCAUGCAAGCAAUUGCCUGCGUUCAGGCCUCUAACUGAAGGGUCCAAAGCCUGAAUAGGUAUGGCAGGAAAAAAGGACAGUUUUGCUUCAUGCAAGACCGGUCCUGAGUUCACCCAGGUCUUCUAAGCCAUCAAAGUGGUGACAUGAGAUGAAAAAGGAGAAAUCUGCUUCCUGCAAACCGUCUCUAGCUUUUAUGUCUGUAGACGGGGGUCUUCAAGGCCUAAAAAGAGAAUAUAUGGCAUUGAAAAAGGAGUAUUUUGCUUCCUGCAAAAAGUGUCCUGCGUACUGGUCAACCCAAGGUCUUUAAGACCAUCCAACGGAAUGGAGAAGCUGAAAAAGGAUGACUCUGCUUCACGCAAACCAUCUCCAGCUGUCAUGUCUUUCUACAAGGUCUUCAAGGCCUUAAAAGAGACCACUGGAGGUGAAAAAAGGAGAAAUCUUUUUGCUCACGCGGAUGCGCUUCCUGGGCAUUAUUCCUCCCCAGGCCUUCAAGGCCUCUGAAUUGAGAGUGAAGACUGAACAGAGAAUCUUUGAGGAGCAAAAGGAGAAAUUUGCUUCUUGCUAACCCCCUCCAGCUUUGAUUUGUCUCCCUAAGGUCUUCAAGGCCAGCAGAGAGAAUAGUUGAGGCGAUAAAGGAGAAAUUUGCUUCAUGCCAACCAUCUCCUGCUUCUACGUCUCUUUCGAAGGUGUUGAAGCCAAGGAAAGGGAACAUUCACGGUGAAAAAGGAGGAAUUUGCUUUCUGCCUAGAGACUCCAGGUUGUAUUCCUCUUAGGUCUUCAAGGCCUCCAAAGAAAAUAGGCAAGGCUCAAAAGGAGAAAUUUGCUUCAUGAAAAGAAUCUCCUCCUUUCAUUUGUCAACCUAAAGUCUUCAAGGCCUGAGAAGGGAAUCCUUGUGAUAGAACAAGAGAGAUUUGCUUCAUGCAAACAAUCUCCUGCUUUGAUUACUCUACCUGAGGUCUUCAAGGCCUCAAAAGAGAAUGUUGGAGAUGAAAAUGGAGAAAUUUGCUUCCCGCCAAACCAUCUCCUACUGUUAUUUCUCUCCUUACGGUCUUCAAGACCUGAAAAGAGGAUAUUUGAGGUUUGAAAAGAAAAUAAUUUGCUUCAUGUAAGCCAACCACCCCACCCCCUUCAUUUCUCUACUAAGGUCUUCAGGACCUGCAAAGAGAAUACUUGUGUCUAAUAAGGACAAGUUUGCUUCCCGCAAGCCAUCUCCUGCUUUUGUUUCUCUACCUAAGGGCCGGAAAGAGUGCUAUGUAGGGUUAAAAAAGGAAGAACUUUGCCUCUUGGAGAAACUGACCUCGUCGUAUUUCUCCCUAAGGUCUUCAAGACCUGAAGAGAAAAUAGAGGAGCCGGAAAAGGAGCCAUUUGCUUCACGCAGAAACAUCUCCUGUUCCUUCCUCCAGUGGAGGUCUUCAAGGCCUCCGCAAAGCCAGUGAAUAGAGAAUCUUGGUGGUGAAAAGGAGGAAUUUGCUUCAUGCAAAAAGCCCUGCUUUUCUUUCUCUCCCUAAGGUCUUCAGGGCCUGAGAAGAGAAUA